CUUUCCCCUACACUUAUAAACCCAGAAGGAUCUGUAACUGCUGUUCAUCUUCUGUUAGCAUACGUGAAAUUCACAUCAGAACAGAACAAUUGUUUUAGAUUAAUUAACAGAUAAGCCAAAAGUAGGCUUCGGUAGAGAAUUCAUAUUUUUUUUCCAGAUUAAUUGAAAGAGUUUAACUUGUUUACUUGCCUAAAAAAUCAAAUGUGUGCGAGAGCUGCCUGGUUAAUAAUGGACAUUUCUGAGGAGUGGUAGUGAAAAGUGAUCCUCGUUUGGCUGAAGGAAAAAAGGCACCUGCGCAUCAAAUGAGUGUGUAAACCAAAUGCUGACCUAAAAGUCCUAAGUGUCCUAAAAGUGAACCAAUAGCAAUGUGUGGAGGAAUAGUAAUAAUAAAAAGAGAAGUCUUUAUUUUAAAUACCACAUUAUCAUUUAGCUGACAUACAAGAAAAUAAAUGAGUGUUGAGAUGAUAAGAACAAACAGCUACAAAGAAGCACUUCGGAGUGGUAUUCACAGUGUUGUAUAUUGUUUCAAAUGUACAAUACCAAAUUAUUUUGGAACAGAAAAGAUGAAAUUUUUUUAUAGGUCAAAAUAUUCUCCAUUUUAAUCUUUCAUUUCAAGGAUGGUGUUGCUGGUGGGCUUCCAGUUUUUCUUUCUCUCUUCCUUUCUCUUUCUUCCUUUCCUUCCUUCUCUUUUUCCUUCUUUCCUUCUCUCUUUUCUUUCUCUCUUUCUCUCCUUCUCUCUUUCUUUCUCUCUUUCUCUUCUUCUCUCUUUUUUCUCUUUUUUCUCUUUCUCUCUCUCUUUUUCUUUCUUUCUUUCUUUCUUUCUUUCUUUCUUUCUUUCUUUCUUUCUUUCUUUCUUUCUUUCUUUCUUUCUUUCUUUCUUUUCUCUCUUUCUCUCUCUCUUUUUCUUUCCUUCUUUCCUCCUCCCUCUCUUUUUCUUUCUAUCUUUCUUUUCUUACUUUAAAUCCAAAGCAGUGGAGCUGAGCAUGAGAAGCAGUAAUUUCUUUGAAUCUUAAUGCAGUCUGUCUUCUUAAUGAGCCUCCUGCACUGCCCUGAAAACAGCCCUUUACAAAUAAACAUGCUGGAAGUGAUUUAGCCACAAUGUCCAGACUGUGUAAACAUCUAAUUAUUACAAUAAAAUUGUCAAUAAAUAUACAUUACUGCUCCCUUUUCAAACGUUAACCAACUUUCGUCUUUGCUUGAUAAAAAGGUAUAAAUUGUAUGUUUGUGCCGUGCUGGGUUCUGUUUCCAUUACGCGCUCUCUGCUCUCCAGACAAAAGGACACAGCCUAAUGCUGGGGUUAUUCCUGGAUGGCGAUAAGUCCUACAGUAGUUUUAUAACGUAAAGUGCAGUGUUUCCUUUCACAGUAAAAUGGACUCGGAGCUGAUGUUUAGUCACGGCAUCUUUUAUUUUUCCCCCCAAAUAAAAGGGCUAUAAAACCUGUUAUUUUACCUGCUGUAACUGCAGGGUAGGCACGCGAUUAAAACCCGCUUGUUAGAGGGAGGAACGGACAUAAUGCUGCAUUAGGGCUGCGAGAGCAAAUAGGAAAAUGGAGUAAUUUUCUCAAAAAUAUGAAGUUCUGCUUUCAGGAUUAUGGCAUCGUGUCGACCAUAAUUGCGGCAUGCCCCCCUUUCCCAUACGUCCCCCCUUCUUGCAUAUCUUAUGUAAGUGGAACAUUAACAUCAGAAAAGCCGAGCGAUAUUGAAUCCUAAUGAGGUCUGGCCUAUAUGCUGGGGCAGGAGAAGAAUGAGGAUCAUUCAUUUGUAUGCCACGAAGCAUUCAGGACUCCGCGAGCAUCCCCGUGGCUCCAGCGCGCGGUGCUGAUCAUCUGUUCUUGCUUUGGGGGGUUCCACGGCUCCGAGCAGCAUCUGAGCUGGGCAAAAAACAGUUAACUGCUUUGCUGCGAGCUUUUGUUAUAUAAUGACAAUUUAAUACGGUGGCUAUUUUUUUGUUAACCUGCUUUAAAAAGGUCUUUCACAUGGUUAAAUUAAUCUUCUGAUUAGCUGUGCCUGCCAGGUAAAAUAUGAGAAGGACAGUGGCACGGGACGUGUAAAUGCACGAUCCAGUCCUGGUAAACACGUCUGUUUUCAGUAAUCACUGUCACGACAGCGGCCAUUCGCUCCGAAAAGAUAUUUUUAAAGUACUUCUUGUUCUAUUUCACUGCUCGUGUUCACACCUCUUUUCAUCUUUUUUCUUUUAACCCAGAAGAUGCCCAGCGCAGUGAUGCGGUAUUUCAAAAGAGCAGGGUGAAAUGCUUCCCGAAACCGAGGUAUAAAAGAUCCGUGCAAAUUGCCACGCAAAAUGAUCUGCACAAAAAGGCAUCGGGGAAGGGAGCGAGGGCUGUGCCAAACAGAUGGCACACCCUGCUGUGUUUUUGAUUGAAAAAGAAAGGUAACAUUUGCAGCCACGUCAAAGAGACAGUGAUCAGCUAAACAAAUUGGUCUCCGAAGUGCAGCCGUGCUGGAGCAGACCCUGCUGCAGGGUACGGCGCGGCUGUAUUUCACCAUCGUGCUACGUGCUCCGAGUGGAGGGAGAUGGCCCCUUCCUCCCUGCAAGGCGAGCAGAAGCCUUUGUUGGAAGAGGCUGCAGCGUGCUCUGCAGAGAAAUCCGCAGACAAUAAGAGCCAGAGUGGGUUUUCUUUUCUUUCUUUUUUCUUUUUCUUUUUUUUUUUGGUGGCUUGGCUUUGGCUUUUUUUCCCCCCACCCCCCUUUCCUUUCGGUGUGUUUCAUCUCUCCUGGUCACCUCCAUGCCGUGGCCUGGGUCCGCCAGUUGGUGGAUCAGGUGUCGGGUCAGAAGGGAUGGGGAGGCAAUGCCAGGCGGGUGGAGGAGGAGGCUGCGUCCUGCCGCUGCCACAACGCCGGCAUGGCAUGGCAAGGGUGCGGGGCUCCCCCUCCCCUGGUUGGGGCUCCUCUCAGCUGGCAGCCUGAUUCCGCCUCAGUAAAGACAAGAGCUCUUGGACGCUCUCCAACUCAGCUCUAUGGCUUUGCACGAGGCUGCAGAAGAGCAGAGCAGUGCCAUGCGUGGGGAAAUGUUCUUUCCGCCUCACACCACAGGCUUUGGGCUGAUACCCAGUGUCUGGGAGGACGUGGUGACGGAUCUCCUUCCUAAUCCACUGUAGCAUUAAUGCAAACAGCAACGGAACAUCUUUCAUUCACUUGACUUGUUUGGAAAUCUUUGAGGGUGGCUCAUGAGGAAUGUGGUGGCCUGGCUGUAUCCUCCCUUCAUUGAUGCUUUUCUCAGGAGAGGCAGCAACUUUUUGAAAGAUGGCAGCUGGCUUCUUACAUUGCCUCUAGCGCAGCAAAGACAAAGAAACUUUAAAUCUUACAUGUUAUCUUUGUAGGAAUAACAGAGAUUUGGAGGC
ensembl:lncRNA